UCCAAUACAUUUCAACGAUGAAAUUUAAGCAAACACCAGUCUUUAAAACGGUAAAACAAUUUGGCACUGACAGUUUCGCACUUUGACAAAUGACCUCGGUUAUUUAAUCGUAUUUAUUUAAGAUUAAUAUUCCCGGACAUGUCUGUACAUGGUGAAACCUGUGUGAAGAGAUAAGCACAGGUUUUCGCCUGUGAGGCAAUGGUGCGCGCAGGUUUCCCGACAGCCUGUUGUUUCGCGGGCGGGUACCACGAGCAGAAACCAAGCGCGAAUCAAAGGCCUGACAACUUCUUUGUUAAUUGGAACAGGCUUCUCGCUAUGUGUGCAGUGAGGGUGCUGAAAAGCCUAAGAUACAAUAUGACAAGUGUGAGCACGAAGUAGAGUCGCUUUUAAUUAAUUUUUCUUUCUCCAUUGGAAGCCUCGCUGUGCUCGUUUGUGAUACAUUUCGAGUUGUAAUUGACGAAAUAUCUCGCAACUGCAGUAUUAUUCUUCAGCUUGGAGUUGCCUUUGUGUUUGUGGAAUCAAUGUGGGACUGUCAGGUAUAGAGUGAAAACCAUAAAUAAAGUCAAUUUGACCUAGAGAUUAAACUCGUUGCACUGUGGUGUAUGCUGCCACACUGUAGGCGUAUUGUGUGGAAGAGCCUCUGCACAUGACCUCAGCUGAAACACUGGACAUCUAGCAGAGUUUCAGAUCACUGAAUGGCACAAGCUUUGGCACCACACACCUCCAAUCAUCACCUUAGACAAGAAAAGGCUGAAAGAUCCAAAAGAAGAGGAUGAAAUGGUCAACAAUGUGUGCACUUUCAUCCCCCCAUUCUGUACAAGAGGCCAACAGGGUCUGGAGAAGAGAGGCUAUUACCUGAACGUGGUGCAUCCGACAUCACGGACACCGAUGUUCCUCUUCCAUUCAUCUGGAGUGGUUCACUUUCCUGCAGCAAUUACCGGCCGUGAGAUCAAAACUGGACCAUCAGGGAGAAUUGCGAGUCCUCCUGCAGACGGUUGCAUGCGUGUGAAUGGACUGGCCGACGGUACUUGGCCAUUGAGUGCAUUGGCAGAGUGACUCGCAGAGGAAAUUGGUAAACUGACUGACUGACAGCACGUGAUAAAAUGGCGGCCGACUGUUUCAAACAACUGUACGCUUUAAGGUCAUGUAAAUUAGCCAAAAAUAGUACAGAAUUAUUCAGGUUUUAAAAAAUUUCACUAUAUUGUACUCUGUAUGUAAGCUGGUAUGUAGAAUACUUUAUUUAGUAUGCACAGUGUGCCUGUUUGUGAUCCACUCUGGAGCUGGUGCAGCAGGCGGCCCUGUCAUCUGCAGACCAUCUCACAAUGAAGGCCAGCAGGGCUCACUGUCAUAUUACUCCAAGAUGUGUAAUCAUUAGCCUUGUCACAUUCAGCUGUUUCCUCUGCUACAAUUAAGAUGAACAAAAGCGGAAGAGAGAGGAAAAAUAGAAAGAAAGUGUGAUUGAGAAGAUAAAAUGAGUGGAGCACAUGUUCAUUUAAGACUUGUCUUCAUGUGUCCAAGCAGAACUUUAUUUAUCAGGCUCUGUAUCUAUAAACUUUCUCCCCAGCGUGGCAUGUGGUAAAUUCCCAGGAUUUAGUGGUACUUCCUAUGCUCUGUUGUUAGAAAUUAUAAAAUAUAUCUUUGCUAAAAUAUGUAAGGUAUUGUUUAUACUGCAGCAGUGAUCCCAUUUUGUUUUUAGUUAUUUAUUUGUAGAUUAAUUUUAUUUUAUAAAUUUUAUUUAUUUUAUUGUGUUUACUAUGCAUGAGACUACACACAACAAAUGAUGAAACAUGGAAUUUAUUUUUUAGAUGCAUGAUUUUAGAUGCAUUCAGACUGAGAUGCGUUGGCAAAAAUCUGAUUUUAAUCAAUUUCAGACCACCUGUUUUCCAGACAAUAAAAAUGAUUUGACUUGGCU